rnacentral:lncRNA from 1 species
AGCUGUCCUGUGAUAAUCGCAGUAAUAUUGAUUUGUUCACUUUGUAGGAGUGAAGCUGGUCGACUGGCAGAAGAAAACCUCGUUCUAAGGCAGAAGAUCUCUGCACUUAAGGAAGAGGACCUGAGGGAGAACCAGCAUGAGCUGCUACUUCAAGUUGAGCACUUCAGAAAGGAGAGGAGUUCUGCGCAGAAGGUGGUGGAUGGAUUAAAGAGACAGAUUUCAGAACUGCGUCGUCGUGGACAGCAACUGGAAGAGGAAAAUGAUGCUUUGUCGCAGCAGAAUGUGAAACAUGCACUCAGUGUUGACACCCUUCAGCACACUCUUGAGGAAAUGAUACGCCAUUCGCAUGGCAAUGGAUCAUCCAAUGAGGGCAGAGAGUUGGAGAAUGUUGAGGAUUUUGUGGCUCCUGUUAUCAGAACAGAAAAGCUGGAAGAGGAGAAGGAGCUUCUGAAAGCAGAACUCAACCGCUGUGUGGAAAAGAUGACUCGCUAUCGAUCAUUAGAAACCCAGUUUGCUCAGCUCUUGAACGAGAGACAGACAUCAGACAAGCACAACCAGGCUCUUCGCACACAGCUGAUAAAGGCACAGGAGAAGGUACUACUAAAAAAAACACACAUUUUCAAUAUUUCAUGUAGCAGUGAUGAAUUCUCUGCUAAAAAAAAAAAAAAACAUUGCUGUUCCUUUGGCUCCUCAGGUCCAGGCUGUGGACUCCACAGUGCAGGGGCUGACUCAGCAAAAUGCCCGACUCAAAUCUGA